rnacentral:lncRNA from 1 species
GAUGUGUUGCAUUUCAUGAAAGCAUGAAAUUUAAAUUGAAUGUUUAUUUAUUCUGCUCAUUGGGCUUUAUAGCUCACCCCUCUCCCUUAACCCCCAGGUUUGCAGGUACAGGGUAGACCAGGAGGUCAGCAGGAGUAGAGUCAUGUUUUAUGUAAUAGAUAGAUGUGGACAUGAAUAUGAUGUAAUGUAAAAAGUAUAGUAUGGAAAUGUAAUGUAAUGAUGCUUAUGGAAGUUUAGAGUUGUGCUUGACCAUAGUAUGUUGUUAAUCCCUUUUUAGUACAUGAUCUUAAAUGUUUAAUGAUGAUUAUUGUAAACCAAGCUUAAUGUAUGUUAUGUUACCCCAUUGGAGUAGUUGAUGAGGACUCCAGUGAGAGGUUUUA